GUAAUAUUCAAUUUGGAUUCAGUUUCUGGAUUCUUAAAACCUAAAUUUCAGUGUGGUUUUGUUUAGACGUUCAAACCGCCCAAACAGAGACGUGAUCGCCUUGCCAAAACCCUAUAUUUCAAAUUACAACGGCAUCUCUUGUAUUACGAGAAAAGGAGGAAGACUACAGCGGCCAAUCAAUAGGUGGGAAACUUUCCCACCUGUACGCUUUGCUGAUCGAAAGUAUGGCGAAGGAUUCGGUUUUGAUCCUGUAAGCUAGAAUUACAAGCUUGUCAUUUUGUCAAAUGAUCUGAGGUUUGCUAGGCUUACUACUCUAAUUCUGAUAAUUGGAUUAAUAUAUCUGUUCCUGAUUAUGUGUUUACUAAUAUUAGCGGAACCACCUCAACAAAUUCUGUAAUUAUUGUAACGGAUUGUCCUUACUUGGACAUUUCUGAGAUACACGAAAGACAAGCAUAUGAACAAACCAAUAGUUUGAUUACUCUCAAGUUUGAUGUUGUGCGUAACGAGUUCAAGUUGAUGCCUGGAUUUUUUUGUGAUAAAGCAGGUGGUUUUGAAUUUGUGGAUAUGAAUGAUUCUCUUACUUUGAUAGUAUAUGAGUACAACAACUAUCCUUUUUCUGAGCUUAUGCUCAAUCUAUUUUCUUUGGACGGGGAGAAGGGAUGCUGUGUUUGGAGUAAGAUAUACAGUAUCGGACCAUUUAAUCGUUGGUUUAAUUGUGGUGGUAUAGGGGUUUGUGGUGAGAUUGUGUUUCAUGAUUGGGGUAAGUUUUGCUGUUAUGGUCGCAAAACAAAUACGAUUUAUAAACUCCUUAAUACGUCUUCUACAACUGCAACUACAAAUGAUUCGAGAAUAAGCUGCUUCAGAUAUACUCCUAGUUUGCUUUCAUAGAGGGAAUAAAGUCUGUUUUUUAUUUAACAACCUGAACUUGUUGUGCAAGUGUUCAGUAUUCCAGAGUUCCUCAUGGAGUAAUCAAUGCACUUAAAUAUUGAUCAUUUGCUUAAGGUCAUUUGGUUUUAUAACCUACAUGUGCUGGAGGGAUAAAAAUCACAUUUGUGAAACGAAAUUUCCCAGUUGGAGCUUUAAAUUAGAGGAUUUUGAGAAGCUGGAGCAUUUGAACAAGGAUGUACUGUUUUGGAGGCUUUUGGAGCAUUCCUGUUCAGGCUGUCCUCAGGCAUUUGGAACUUGCCAGUGCUAUAUGCCGCCUCUAAGGUAUGUGGGAAUUGUUGGCUGUGCACUCUCUGUUCUUUUUACCUGCUUGGUGUUCUGAGAAAUUCGACAACUUGAAACAUUAUCUAACUGUGAGUCACUGGAAUGCAUUGUUGAGGAGGUCGAGGGUGAUGAAACCUGGGAGAUAAAUGGUAAGACUAGUACCACGUCUUCUUAAGUCUCAUCAAUUACUCUUCACUCUUUGCCAAACCUCAGAAGUUUCAGUUGCAGUGUAGGCUUUUAUUAAUUGUGAUAAGUAUUAGACUAAAAUACCCCUUUAAAUAUCACAAUUAUAUCAGUUAACGUUAAGAUUUUAACGGGACUUAACGAGAGCCACUGUUUCAAAAAGCGGAAGCAAAGUUUAGCCAUUUUUAUAAGAAGUUGAAUACCUGGCCAACCUUAUUAUAACUCGGUGUAAAGUUUGGCCAUAAAUGUGAAGUUUAGUCUUAUGUAAUUUAAUGUGCUUUAAGUGUCCCCAGAUAGAAAGUAUUUCAGUUCCCCAGAUACAAACGCACCAUUCGUACACGUUAAUUGGUACGAGUACGAAGAAGAAACAUUUAUAGACGUAAACGACUACGUAGGACAAAUCACAAAAGUAGAAGCUACUUAAGUGACUCUGAUGUAGUCAAGAGAUUUGCGGACAUUUCCUGCUGUUCCUGUAAUAUAGAGUUGUAAUGCUAUUACACCAUUAUAAAUAUAACUAGCAUAACAUCCCGUGUAUCUAGCACUUGGAUUAGAACAUGUGUACUCCUGUUGUUUACCUCACAAAUUAAACCGAGACCUCUCGGUUACAAACAGAAUAGCCCCUAAAUUCGUUUUUGCUGGCCCUACACUGAGAAGUGCUUGGCUGCAAGCUGUUCUGCACGAUAAUCCGUCGAGCUCUUGUAAAAAGAAGCAUACUAAUGCUCUCAAGAUCAUUUAAAGAUCUUAGUUAGGUGGUGGAUUUCGAUUGGCUGCCAUCCUAUUAAUAAUGAUGGUCUUAGUUUGGUGGUGGAUUUCAAUUGGCUCUCAUCCUAUUAAUAAAGAUGGCUCAUGUAUGCAAAAAAAUCUCCACCAAUCAAAAUUUUCCACCUAACUAAAAAAUACUCCCUCAGUCCCACCAGGUUUUUUACGUUACUUUUUGACACGUAUUUUGAGGCUCCUAUAAUGUAUAGUUCCAUAAUAUGUUUUUUAAAUUUUUUUCUCUGAAUAAAUGUUUGACAUUUAAACUUUUAUUCAUCUUUGUCUAGUUGUUGAUUUUAUUAUUAUAAUUAAUGAUGAAAUUGAUUAAUCUUUUUCUAAAAUAUCUAAAUUCAAAGUAUAUAAAUAUAAUAAAGAUGAAUGAACUUGGAUUUAUAUUUGGAUCAUAUGGUUGGAAUGAGAUUUGGAUCCCGCCCUAAAUUUGGAUCAUUUGGUGAUCCAAAUUUGAAUCUAUGGUUGGAGUUGGCCUAGCAACCAAACAACUGCUCCUUGAUUGCUAUAUUGAAAUUCACCCAAGUCUACCCUCCUGGAAUACAAAUAUCAUACUUCGGGUUGCAGCGCCAUACAUGACUGAUCGCAGCGCCAAUGCGCCAUACAGGCAUACAUGACUGAUCUUGUCUCGUCCACAGUAAAACUAAAAGAUUCCCACGUUAAUUCCACUAGUUGAUCAAUAUUUAGUAUACUAUUAACAUGCUUGUGCUAAGCAUCCACGGACUUUUUAAACCCUCCAGGAUGUUAACUUAUAAGUAGUAAUGUUUGGAUGAGUUAAUAUUUUAAACAUCUGUGUCACUGCUAAUUACUACUAUAACUAAGCAUCCAUUGACUUUAUAAUCGCUCCAGGCUGUUAACCAAGUGAUGUUAGACAAUUAGUAAGUAAUUUAAACACUAACACUAGUUGCAAUACUACAUUGCAUGUUAUACCUGCAAUUAUUUCAUCAAUCUCAGUAUCAAUUUUAUACCCCUUUGCUUCCUUUAGUUCUCUCUUUUAUUACUGCCCGUGUUCUUUUUCCCUUCUGUUUGGCCAUUCAUAUAUAGAAGUCUAAGCAAUUUGACCUGCAUUUUCGUUUUCUUACGGUUCAAACACCAGCAAAUAACAAACAAUCACGUGAUUAAAGAAAAUUAAAGAAAUGUAUCAUAAUUUUUUUUCAUAUUUAAAGCUUAAACAUCAAAGAAAAGUAAAGAAAUAUGUCAUAAUUAUUUGAGAGGUCAUGUUGAGUUCCUGGUUUCUCCUUUCCUUUAUAUAAGUGUAUAUUUUUUUUAAUUAAUUUUAAAAAAAAGGCAAGAAGAGUAAUUUAACAAUGAUCAAAAAUAUCUAAACAAACGGUAAAUUAUUCUUAGCUAAUUAUUGGUUAGUAUAUAUAUGUAUCGGAUGAAUUUAAUGAGUUCGACUUUAGCUAAACAAUGUGGAACACCCAAGCAAUGAUUGCUUGCAGCUUGUAGACUAAUUCGAACAAGGCGGGUUGAUCAAAAGCAAAUCGGAAUGAGGCGGAUUGUAUGUUAUACUCUCAUUGAGCAGCUCAAGUCGGUUAUUAUGUAGGUUCCGAACCACCGGGUCAAGUGCUGGCCAGACAGAUUCCCGCGACAUUCAUGUACUGGCAUAGUUCCAAGAUUGCAAGACUAAUCGUGCUGGAGCUCUGCUAGAAGUUGUAUUAUUGUUGAAAUCCUCAUUAUUUAACAACCAACAACAUACACAAAUCCUAUUUAAACAUCAUAUUGUAUAUUUUGAAUGCAACAGGAAUUAAAGAAACCAUCUGCCUA